CAGCCUACGGGGGGCAGCAGUGAGGAAUAUUGGUCAAUGGACGAGAGUCUGAAAGAGCCAAGUAGCGUGAAGGAUGACUGCCCUAUGGGUUGUAAACUUCUUUUAUAUGGGAAUAAAGUUUUCCACGUGUGGAAUUUUGUAUGUACCAUAUGAAUAAGGAUCGGCUAACUCCGUGCCAGCAGCCGCGGUAAUACGGAGGAUGCGAGCGUUAUCCGGAUUUAUUGGGUUUAAAGGGUGCGCAGGCGGUCUGUUAAGUCAGCGGUCAAAGCCCGGGGCUCAACCCCGGCCCGCCGUUGAAACUGGCA
rnacentral:rRNA from 1 species